UUUGAGAGUUUGAUCCUGGCUCAGGAUGAACGCUGGCGGUAUGCCUAACACAUGCAAGUUGAACGCAAAUUUUUACAAAUUUGAGUAGCGAACGGGUGAGUAACACGUGAGAAUCUACCUCUAGGAGGGGCAUAAAAAACCCCAUAUGCCUAACGGUGAAAAGAUUUAAUUAAUCUGCCUGGAGAUGAGCUCGCGCCUGAUUAGCUAGUUGGUGAGGUAAUAGCUCACCAAGGCCACAAUCAGUAGCUGGUCUGAGAGGAUGAGCAGCCACACUGGGACUGAGAUACGGCCCAGACUCCUUCGGGAGGCAGCAGUGGGGAAUUUUCCGCAAUGGGCGAAAGCCUGACGGAGCAAUACCGCGUGAGGGAUGAAGGCUCGUGGGUCGUAAACCUCUUUUCCCAAGGAAGAAGUUCUGACGGUACUUGGGGAAUAAGCAUCGGCUAAUUCCGUGCCAGCAGCCGCGGUAAUACGGGAGAUGCAAGCGUUAUCCGGAAUCACUGGGCGUAAAGCGUCUGCAGGUUGUUUAGUAAGUUUGUUGUUAAAGACUGAAGCUUAACUUCAGAGGUGCGGCAAAAACUGCUAGACUUGAGUAUGGUAGGGGUAGGAGGAAUUUCUAGUGUAGCGGUGAAAUGCGUAGAUAUUAGGAAGAACACCAUUAGCGAAGGCGUCCUACUGGGCCAUUACUGACACUCAGAGACGAAAGCUAGGGUAGCAAACGGGAUUAGAUACCCCGGUAGUCCUAGCCGUAAACGAUGGAUACUAGAUGUUGCGGGUUUACCUGCGGUGUCGUAGCUAACGCGUUAAGUAUCCCGCCUGGGGAGUACGCACGCAAGUGUGAAACUCAAAGGAAUUGACGGGGGCCCGCACAAGCGGUGGAGCAUGUGGUUUAAUUCGAAGCAACGCGCA
rnacentral:rRNA from 16 species